ensembl:processed_transcript Gm13663 predicted gene 13663
CCAGGUCCAUUCCUGGGUUCCCAGAAAAUGUCUACAAGUCAUAUAUUUUGCAGAGGCUUAUAAAGGCAAACCCAUAAGGUUACAUUUUUCUCAGCAGGUCCAAUCAGCGGCAAGCAUAUAUCCUGAAGCACUUCUUGUCUGUGUACCUCCCACUUACAUCCAAUCAGGGGCAAGCAUACAUCCUGACGUAUUUCCUGCCUACGUACCUCACACCUACAUCCAGUACGGUUAGGCCAAAUAAACUUGUUUAGGGGAGUGAAGCAUGUGGCUUGUUUUCUCCCAUAAGCAAUAGCUUCUAGCAUUUCGGGGAAAGAUCUGUCCUUGGGCAAGACACUUAAAGGUUAGCAACAGUUUUUUGUUCCAUGGAUCUCUUAGGCACAGUAAUUAAAACUUAAAACAUACCUUUUUGGCUCUUACAACGUUUGCCUUGCAAGCCAGAGGACCCGAGUUUGAUCCCCUUCAGAUCCUGUCAGCUUUUCAGGCAACGGGCAGAAUCCAGAAAGGUAACAGCACAAGGAUAUGGGAAUCUUUGCAGGACCGGUGGCUUUCCUUCCUUCCCUUUUCCAUUUAUCCUUUCUUUAGAAGGCAGAUAAGGCGGCAUUAUUGAUUGAGGAGU